rnacentral:misc_RNA from 1 species
UUAACUAUUAUAUAGUACUCAGACGACACUAAAUUCAUGGUUUGAUUUCCUCUGGCGGGCGCUUACCAGCCGAAGCCGGUAGUCGGACCGAGGCCUGACGGCCCGCCAAAGCAACAAUGGUAACAAUAACAUAGGGUGGAGAUCUACCCGCAAGGGCAUGAACUCUGUAAUGAUCCCUCCGCAGGUUCACCUACGGAGA